rnacentral:rRNA from 1 species
UACGAAGGGGGCUAGCGUUGUUCGGAUUUACUGGGCGUAAAGCGCGUGUAGGCGGGUCGUUAAGUUGGGGGUGAAAUCCCGAGGCUCAACCUCGGAACUGCCUUCAAAACUGGCGACCUGGAGCAAAGAAGAGGCGAGUGGAAUUGCGAGUGUAGAGGUGAAAUUCGCAGAUAUCAGGAGGAACACCGAUGGCGAAGGCAGGUCUCUGGGCCACUACUGACGCUGAGAAGCGAAAGCGUGGGGAGCGAACAGG